GGAUGUGAGGGCGAUCUGGCUGCGACAUCUGUCACCCCAUUGAUCGCCAGGGUUGAUUCGGCUGAUCUGGCUGGCUAGGCGGGUGUCCCCUUCCUCCCUCACCGCUCCAUGUGCGUCCCUCCCGAAGCUGCGCGCUCGGUCGAAGAGGACGACCUUCCCCGAUAGAGACGUACCGUUCAUCGGUCAAGGGUAUACGGUAGCUGCGCUCCCCUGCUAGAACCUCCAAACAAGCUCAAGGUCCAUUUGUAGGAGAACGUAGGGUAGUCAAGCUUCCAAGACUGCAGACACAUCCAAGUGAGGCACUGCACGGGGCAGUCUGCCAUUGUUU
rnacentral:snRNA from 1 species